rnacentral:rRNA from 1 species
ACGGAAGGCAGCAGUGGGGAAUAUUGGGCAAUGGGCGAAAGCCUGACCCAGCAACGCCGCGUGAAGGAAGAAGGCCUUCGGGUUGUAAACUUCUUUUACCAGGGACGAAGGACGUGACGGUACCUGGAGAAAAAGCAACGGCUAACUACGUGCCAGCAGCCGCGGUAAUACGUAGGUUGCAAGCGUUGUCCGGAUUUACUGGGUGUAAAGGGCGCGUAGGCGGGAAGGCAAGUCAGAUGUGAAAUCCAUGGGCUCAACCCAUGAACUGCACUUGAAACUGUUUUUCUUGAGUGCUGGAGAGGUAGACGGAAUUCCUUGUGUAGCGGUGAAAUGCGUAGAUAUAAGGAAGAACACCAGUGGCGAAGGCGGUCUACUGGACAGUAACUGACGCUGAGGCGCGAAAGCGUGGGGAGCAAACAGGAUUAGAUACCCUGGUA